UCGAGCGCCGUAGCAAUACGGAGCGGCAGACGGGAGAGUAACACGUGGGAACGUACCCUUUGGCUCGGAACAACCCAGGGAAACUUGGGCUAAUACCGGAUAAGCCCUUACGGGGAAAGAUUCAUCGCCGAAGGAUCGGCCCGCGUCUGAUUAGCUAGUUGGUGGGGUAAUGGCCCACCAAGGCGACGAUCAGUAGCUGGUCUGAGAGGAUGAUCAGCCUCACUGGGACUGAGACACGGCCCAGACUCCUACGGGAGGCAGCAGUGGGGAAUAUUGGACAAUGGGCGCAAGCCUGAUCCAGCCAUGCCGCGUGGGUGAUGAAGGCCCUAGGGUUGUAAAGCCCUUUCGGCGGGGAAGAUAAUGACGGUACCCGCAGAAGAAGCCCCGGCUAACUUCGUGCCAGCAGCCGCGGUAAUACGAAGGGGGCUAGCGUUGCUCGGAAUCACUGGGCGUAAAGCGCACGUAGGCGGAUUGUUAAGUCAGGGGUGAAAUCCUGGAGCUCAACUCCAGAACUGCCUUUGAUACUGGCGAUCUUGA
rnacentral:rRNA from 1 species